ensembl:lncRNA
GGCGCUGCCGCCUUCUCAGCGGCGCCGGCGGGCGGCGUAGGGCCCGCAUCCGGCCGCCAUCUUGCCGCCUCCUCUAGCCCGCCCGAGCCACAACGUCACGCGCGUAACCUGGAAGUGUCCCGCGUAUGAGUCGGGCGGGUGUUGGCGAGCUGUGCGGCGUGCUGCCUUACCGCCCUCUGGUGCCCUGUGGGGGCUCGGGCGUGCAGGCGGGUGGCGUCUGCCGCGCUAAGGGAGGGAAGAAGGGAGCCGGGAGAGCUGUUGCUGGGGUGGUUAUCAAACUGCGGAGGAGCUUUGAUCUGGGAGCAGGGACCUUUACUGAUCGAUGCCGUAUUAAUAGCAGCCCUUGAAGAUUGCUCUGUACAUUGGCUUGUAAAUCCAGCUCCUUCUCUGCACCGUUUGGUACCAAGUGCCUUAAUGAAAUCCAGUGUUUUUGCUACGAAUGUGGUGCAAGUCCACUGAAGUCAGCCUUGAAAUCCCAGUUUUGUCAAGCUCAGAAUCUGCUCGGUGGAGACCCAGUGCUGUUGGUUGAACUCGUGCUCUGCCACCUGCAGCUGAAGCCUAAACGUACUUUGAAUCCUAGCAGGGAGGUGUCCGAAGGCAGCUUCCCCAGCUUCCUUCGCAGCCACAGAUGUGCCUUUAACCCACGCAGCUCUGUCGCUCAGGCUGUCCCGCAGUAUCACUUACCGGCGUCACCGCAGAGGGGGAGCAGCACACCGCAGGCUGGCCCAGGACACAUGCAGAGACGUGCUGCUGCGGGGUGGUGGUUCGCGUUUUAGGAUCCUUCGGGCUUCUUCACAGCAGUGUUAGAGAGAGGAUCCCACUCAAUGCAGGGUGGCCCUGGGGUUUGCCUGCUACGGUCACUGACAAGCAGUUCCUCGAGCAACAAGGGCCCAGCAAUCAUGAACUGAAAACCACCAGAGUGAGGCCACCAACACCCCCAUCCACAUCUUUGCCUUUUUAGGUAGUUGUUCUCUGCUUCAGUACCAGUAAGAAACUUAAACUGCUCGCCAGUGCUGCUGUGCUGAGCUGACAAGUGGGAUGAAUGGUGCUAAUAGAAGUGUGAAAAACUCUUAUGUGUCAUCUCUUGCCAAACAAGUGAUGGAAGAGAAAUGAAGAGAGGAAAUGUCUUCACAGAAAACUCUAAGAAGUGAAGAAGGGUGAAGAGGGAGACAGGCACCGGGGAGAAAGAGGAAGAGCCUCUCUGUGAUGUGGGGACUCGCAGACAUGCUUCUCCACCAGAAAGACUGCACAGAUGAGACUUCUUGAACACAAGAGAUUGCCUCAAACAGUAGCUCCAAGGACAGAAGUGACAUGGGCCAUCAGAGCCUCCACGCUUUCUGAUGGAGAGACUUCCUCCUACAGAUGGGCAUUUUGCCACGGAAACUUCACUGCUUCCCUCCUCUGCAGAAGAGCAAAAUCAACUGCUCUGAGUGCUGGGUGCCCAUAACCCAAAGCACAGUGAAGUCAUUGUGCCACACAUUUCACCGGGUGCCUGAGGCCAUACCAAAGGAAAGGCUUGGAUGGCAUGGGCUCCAAUCCCCACAGCCCAGAGGUGGGAUGGGUGCCACACCUCCAGCCCACUGGGUUCCUGAACCUCUAGGAGGGUAUGGGCAAAAGAUGAAAGCAGCAAGCAGCACUGAGCUCUUCUGGAGCUGAAACAGGACCAAAGCUAAACCCUAAACAUCCCCUCCUUUUCUCAUUCCCCCACCUCUGCACUGUUUGCAUAACGUUUGAGCAUGUGAAACUUUGGGGAAGUGAAAUCAUUCCUG